AUCGGAUCUCUCUCUCACACUUCGUGGUCGAUCUCUCUCACUAUAUCUCUCGAACUCGUCAUCUCUCUCAAUGAUGAAUCGCGAACCCUAGACUCCAAUCCCUUUCACUGAAUCACAAAUUCAAAUCCCUAAUUGCAUAAUCAAGGCUCACUGAUCCCUAAUUGCAGAAUAAAGGCUCACUGAACCCUAGUAUGUAUUUUAUGUAAGUGUGAUCUAAUGAUGAGUUUUAAGUGUUUGUUACCAUGUAAAUAUUUUUCAAAUGAUUCUGAUCUCACCCACUAACAUUCUAGCAUUUCUAAUUUUAAUUAGAAUCAUUGCAAUUUUUUUGAUGUUGUUAUUGCAAUAUUUCUAGUUAUGUGACUCUGAAUGUGUUUCCAUGUAAAUGUAAAUGAAUAACAAGUCUUAGAGUUGUAGUUGGUUUUGGGCAAACAACUUAAUUAAGUGCUUAUUGAAUAAAUUUUUAUAUGAUAAGCCAUAAGUUGUUUUCAUAUUAGUGCUUAGCUGUUUUUAUAAGCUAUAUCUUGAAGAGUUUAUUGAAGUACGCUGAAAAGAGCUUAUAGACAUGAUAGGUUGUUUGUUUCCAUGUAAAUGUAAAUGAAUUCCAUUAUAGGUAUAUGGUGUGGAUAUCAGGCAGGCGGCAUGGUUUAGUGUCGUUCCAUGGGUUGUGAUGGCUAUCAUGAAUUACCUUGCUGGCUUUUGGUCAGAUAUGAUGAUACAAAGUGGUACAAGUGUGACUUUGACUCGUAAAAUUAUGCAGUCCAUUGGUUUUGUUGGUCCUGGACUUAGCCUCAUUGGUUUAGCAACAGCAAAAAACCCCUCGGUUGCGUUGCUUCUGUUUGGCUUACAUUAACCUUUGGCUUGAAAUUGUUAUAUGUUUGGUUUAGAAUUUGGUAAUUCCAUUUGCUAGUAUAGGAACUAAAUUGGUGAGCUUCUAUGUUGGACAUUUGAACGAACCUAUUUGAAUAUAAUUGGCCAAGCUUUACUUUGGUGGUAUUAUAAACGCUGGCGAAACCCUUCAGUGGAAUUUUAUGGAACUUGGGCUAAUACAUACAACACAUUGGAAUUGACUAUUAGAUUAUAUGGAAUUUUUACUAUUGGUAGUGGUAUGUAUGACUAUGGGUAAAAUAGGGUGAAAUAUGUGCAAAAUAGGGUGUAUGCAUGUGAAUUUUUGUUCAAUUUUUAUAUAUUUUAUUUUUUAUGACACAAUUUUCACCAUAGUAAUUAUCAAUUAUAUUUCAGUUGAAUAUAGGUGGUUUGAGGCAACAUGUUGGACCGAUUGACAAGUAUUGCUAUAUUGUUAGCAACGAUAGAUGCAAGCUGAAAAAGUGUCGCCAGGAGCGUAAGAAGAGUUGCCCUGUUGUCCGAACCGAAAUGUCCUUUUGAAGCUAUCCAGAUUAUCAACUUGCCAAAAGAUUUGGACAAAUAUACCACUUACAGAUAUGGUCCUAAUACUUGUAAGCUACACAGGUUGCCGGUUCCAAGGCUGGGACAAGUGCUUGGUUUGGUUGGGACAAUUGGAAUUGGAAAGUCCACUGCCCUUAAAGUUUUGGCUGGAAAGCUGAAGCCAAACUUGGGACGUUUCACCAACCCCCCUGAUUGGCAGGAAAUUUUGACCUAUUUUCGAGGAUCUGAAUUGCAGAGUUACUUUACUCGCAUUCUAGAAGAUGAUUUGAAGGCAUUGUGUGCUCAGUCUUCUGUUGUUGGUAUGAAAGGUGCUAGUUAGGCAGUGGAAGCUACGAAUAAGGUGUUCAAUGAUCCCACGGCAUUAACAGAGGAGGAGUACGAUUUGCGAGACCGUUGAGCAACUUGUUUUCUUGACCUAUAUAAUCCUGAGGUAGAUUAUGAUGAUGCCGACGAGAAAGAUUAGGAGCUAGCUAGGUUUGUGUGAAGUUACAAUGGACUAGUUAUGAUGAUGUUUUAAUUUGUAUUUUGAAUGGAUUAGUAGUAAUUAUUAUGAUGUUUUGUAUUUUGGAUUUCACUGGUUGUACUUUAAUGACAUUAUUACUAUAUGUUGAAUGUUGAAUGUGGCUAUGGAUG